rnacentral:rRNA from 1 species
CCUACGGGGGGCUGCAGUGGGGAAUAUUGCACAAUGGGCGCAAGCCUGAUGCAGCCAUGCCGCGUGUGUGAAGAAGGCCUUCGGGUUGUAAAGCACUUUCAGCGGGGAGGAAGGCGUUAAGGUUAAUAACCUUGGCGAUUGACGUUACCCGCAGAAGAAGCACCGGCUAACUCCGUGCCAGCAGCCGCGGUAAUACGGAGGGUGCAAGCGUUAAUCGGAAUUACUGGGCGUAAAGCGCACGCAGGCGGUCUGUCAAGUCGGAUGUGAAAUCCCCGGGCUCAACCUGGGAACUGCAUUCGAAACUGGCAGGCUAGAGUAUUGUAGAGGGGGGUAGAAGUCCAGGUGUAGCGGUGAAAUGCGUAGAGAUCUGGAGGAAUACCGGUGGCGAAGGCGGCCCCCUGGACAAAGACUGACGCUCAGGUGCGAAAGCGUGGGGAGCAAACAGGAUUAGAUACCCGAGUAGUC